rnacentral:rRNA from 1 species
GAUGAACGCUGGCGGCGUGCCUAAUACAUGCAAGUCGAGCGAACGGACGAUAAGCUUGCUUCUCUGAUGUUAGCGGCGGACGGGUGAGUAACACGUGGAUAACCUACCUAUAAGACUGGGAUAACUUCGUGAAACCGGAGCUAAUACCGGAGGAUAUUUUGAACCGCAUGGUUCAAAAGUGAAAGACGGUCUUGCUGUCACUUAUAGAUGGAUCCGCGCUGCAUUAGCUAGUUGGUAAGGUAACGGCUUACCAAGGCAACGAUGCAUAGCCGACCUGAGAGGGUGAUCGGCCACACUGGAACUGAGACACGGUCCAGACUCCUACGGGAGGCAGCAGUAGGGAAUCUUCCGCAAUGGGCGAAAGCCUGACGGAGCAACGCCGCGUGAGUGAUGAAGGUCUUCGGAUCGUAAAACUCUGUUAUUAGGGAAGAACAUAUGUGUAAGUAACUGUGCACAUCUUGACGGUACCUAAUCAGAAAGCCACGGCUAACUACGUG